UACUGUGAAACUGCGGACGGCUCAUUAAAUCAGUUAUAGUUUAUUUGAUAGUAACUACUACUUGGAUAACCGUGGUAAUUCUAGAGCUAAUACAUGCACUGAAAUCCCGACUUCUGGAAGGGAUGUAUUUAUUARAUAAAAAACCAACCCGGGCAACCGGUUCUUUGGUGAUUCAUGAUAACUUUUCGAAUCGCAUGGCUUUAUGCUGGCGAUGUUUCAUUCAAAUUUCUGCCCUAUCRGACUUUCRAUGGUAGGAUAGAGGCCUACCAUGG
rnacentral:rRNA from 1 species